GAGAAUGUUAUCACGGGAGACACACGGCGGGUGCUAACGUCCGUCGUGAAGAGGGAAACAACCCAGACCGCCAGCUAAGGUCCCAAAGUCAUGGUUAAGUGGGAAACGAUGUGGGAAGGCCCAGACAGCCAGGAUGUUGGCUUAGAAGCAGCCAUCAUUUAAAGAAAGCGUAAUAGCUCACUGGUCGAGUCGGCCUGCGCGGAAGAUGUAACGGGGCUAAACCAUGCACCGAAGCUGCGGCAGCGACGCUUAUGCGUUGUUGGGUAGGGGAGCGUUCUGUAAGCCUGCGAAGGUGUGCUGUGAGGCAUGCUGGAGGUAUCAGAAGUGCGAAUGCUGACAUAAGUAACGAUAAAGCGGGUGAAAAGCCCGCUCGCCGGAAGACCAAGGGUUCCUGUCCAACGUUAAUCGGGGCAGGGUGAGUCGACCCCUAAGGCGAGGCCGAAAGGCGUAGUCGAUGGGAAACAGGUUAAUAUUCCUGUACUUGGUGUUACUGCGAAGGGGGGACGGAGAAGGCUAUGUUGGCCGGGCGACGGUUGUCCCGGUUUAAGCGUGUAGGCUGGUUUUCCAGGCAAAUCCGGAAAAUCAAGGCUGAGGCGUGAUGACGAGGCACUACGGUGCUGAAGCAACAAAUGCCCUGCUUCCAGGAAAAGCCUCUAAGCAUCAGGUAACAUCAAAUCGUACCCCAAACCGACACAGGUGGUCAGGUAGAGAAUACCAAGGCGCUUGAGAGAACUCGGGUGAAGGAACUAGGCAAAAUGGUGCCGUAACUUCGGGAGAAGGCACGCUGAUAUGUAGGUGAAGUCCCUUGCGGAUGGAGCUGAAAUCAGUCGAAGAUACCAGCUGGCUGCAACUGUUUAUUAAAAACACAGCACUGUGCAAACACGAAAGUGGACGUAUACGGUGUGACGCCUGCCCGGUGCCGGAAGGUUAAUUGAUGGGGUCAGCGCAAGCGAAGCUCUUGAUCGAAGCCCCGGUAAACGGCGGCCGUAACUAUAACGGUCCUAAGGUAGCGAAAUUCCUUGUCGGGUAAGUUCCGACCUGCACGAAUGGCGUAAUGAUGGCCAGGCUGUCUCCACCCGAGACUCAGUGAAAUUGAACUCGCUGUGAAGAUGCAGUGUACCCGCGGCAAGACGGAAAGACCCCGUGAACCUUUACUAUAGCUUGACACUGAACAUUGAGCCUUGAUGUGUAGGAUAGGUGGGAGGCUUUGAAGUGUGGACGCCAGUCUGCAUGGAGCCGGCCUUGAAAUACCACCCUUUAAUGUUUGAUGUUCUAACGUGGACCCGUGAUCCGGGUUGCGGACAGUGUCUGGUGGGUAGUUUGACUGGGGCGGUCUCCUCCUAAAGAGUAACGGAGGAGCACGAAGGUUGGCUAAUCCUGGUCGGACAUCAGGAGGUUAGUGCAAUGGCAUAAGCCAGCUUGACUGCGAGCGUGACGGCGCGAGCAGGUGCGAAAGCAGGUCAUAGUGAUCCGGUGGUUCUGAAUGGAAGGGCCAUCGCUCAACGGAUAAAAGGUACUCCGGGGAUAACAGGCUGAUACCGCCCAAGAGUUCAUAUCGACGGCGGUGUUUGGCACCUCGAUGUCGGCUCAUCACAUCCUGGGGCUGAAGUAGGUCCCAAGGGUAUGGCUGUUCGCCAUUUAAAGUGGUACGCGAGCUGGGUUUAGAACGUCGUGAGACAGUUCGGUCCCUAUCUGCCGUGGGCGCUGGAGAACUGAGGGGGGCUGCUCCUAGUACGAGAGGACCGGAGUGGACGCAUCACUGGUGUUCGGGUUGUCAUGCCAAUGGCACUGCCCGGUAGCUAAAUGCGGAAGAGAUAAGUGCUGAAAGCAUCUAAGCACGAAACUUGCCCCGAGAUGAGUUCUCCCUGACCCUUUAAGGGUCCUGAAGGAACGUUGA
rnacentral:rRNA from 2 species